UACAGAGGGUGCAAGCGUUAAUCGGAAUUACUGGGCGUAAAGCGCGCGUAGGUGGAUUAGAAAGUUGGAUGUGAAAUCCCCGGGCUCAACCUGGGAACUGCAUUCAAAACUCCUAGUCUUGAGUACGAGAGAGGGAAGUGGAAUUUCUGGUGUAGUGGUGAAAUACGUAGAUAUCAGAAGGAACAUCAAUGGCGAAGGCAACUUCCUGGAUCGAUACUGACACUGAGGCGCGAAAGCGUGGGGAGCAAACAGG
rnacentral:rRNA from 1 species